UACAUGUGGGGCAAGCGUUGUUCGGAAUUACUGGGCAUAAAGGGUGCGUAGGUGGUUUGCUAAGUCAGGGGUGAGAUCCCGCGGCCCAACCGUGGAACUGCCUUUGAUACUGGCGAACUUGAGUGCGUGAGGGGUAACCGGAACGAGCAGUGUAGCGGUGAAAUGCGUAGAUAUCGUAAGGAAGACCAGUGGCGAAGGCGAGUCUCUGGACAGUUACUGACGCUGAGGCACGAAGGCCAGGGGAGCAAACGGG
rnacentral:rRNA from 1 species